GCCCCGUAGUGGCUGUGGUGUCGGACAGUGCGGCCGGCAUCAGCAGGGUUCGAUUCCCUGCCGGGGCGCCA
rnacentral:tRNA from 1 species